UUAAAGCUGCAAUAUGGAACUUUUUGGAACACAUAGAAAAGUGAGUUAUAGAUCUGUCAUUCUCAUUGAAAGCAAGAUUAAGAAGCAGUAGAUCUAUUCUAUGUGAGCUAUUUCCAUGCUUCCCGUUCUUAAGUUCCAUUUUUUCGUCUUUUACUUUCGGUUUUGUACACCAGCUUCAAAUAGCUGAAAAUACAAUACAUUUCACAGCUGUUUAGAUGGUACAAUGAUUAUCUACACUAUCCUUGCUUGUUUUAUCACAUAAACUGAAAUGAGCAAGCAGGAAAUGGAGGAACGAUUUCUGCAUAGUGUAUCUUUAAAUACACAUUAAACAGUAAAACAGAUUAAUGAAAUAAUUGUCCUAUAGUUCCUUUAUAAAAAAUGCUUUAUGGGCAAUGUAUUAAGCAUGCUUUCAGUUUAUUUUUAUUUAAUUUUUAUUUAACCUUUAUUUAACUAAGCAAAUCAGGCUUUUCUAUUAUAACACAUUUUGUCAAAUUCCCUUAUCGUGCCUGAUUGAUUACAGCGUUGUACACAGAUAUCUGAUAUGUUUUUAAAUAACUUGGUAAAUUGAGUACAGUAUGAACCAUAAUACCCAUAAAACCUAGCUAUAAAACCCGAAAAUGGUUUCAAUCAUUUUUCACCAUUCAUUUUUCCGUAGGGUAAUUUCAAACUACUUCAUAAGGUUUGUGUUUUGUGUAUGCUUAUCCCGGCAUUACGUUUUGAUAACCACAGACAAGGUAACUUUUAUCAGUAUAUUCUUCUGUAAUAACUUUCCAAAAAUAAAAUGCUAAUUAGCCGCUAAUGUGGCUAUCAUACAGAACUACACAUCCUGAUGCAAGUUUUGAUGUAACCACUCAAGGCGCAGGGUGGAAAGAACCUCCACAUUUCUUCAUGCAAACUCAUCCACAAGUAACCUAGCAAGUAGAUAUUACAGCCUUUCUAGUUUCUCGUGUAAAUCAUUUAUAUUUUGUAUUUCUUGUGUGUAUUCUUGUUUAGAAUUUUUCAAAUUACCUAGCUAGCUACGUAGCAUUUUUCAUUACUCUCAUGUUUUAAAUUACCCUGGCCUUUUUAGCUAACUAGCUAACCUUAGGUCUCUCCGUCGAUCAGAAGCAAGGAUGGUUCUGUGCUCUACACCGGAUUGUAACCAGUAACGUUACUUUGAUAAGCACACGUGUAUUUGAUCGUUUUCCGUCCUCUGAGUGAGAGGCUUCGCUGGAGUUGUGUGAUAAGAUUGGUGGACCGGAAACCCAGUGGCAACAAUCAGGUCUGUAUCUGUCAUUUUCCGGUGGGAAAGAGAAAUGGCCCUGUAUUUACCAGAGAAAGAUCCAGACUGUUGAUUGGGGAAAAAGAACAAACAAUGAGGCAUGAGGAUUGGGUGUUGAGGGAUCAUUUGUCACAUUGUCCAAGGUGGGUUUGUGUUAUGAUAAACAACGCAUUUUCUGUCCAGAUAAAGAUGUUGAUAGGGCAUUGAGAAAGACCCACCACUGACCUAAUGUCUCUUUGUUUUCCAGUCCAAAAGGAGUGCAUCCCUUGUGCCAUCUGGUGCACGGACAUCCUUUGCCAGUGUGAUCCGAGUGCAAGUGUCAAGUUGUAGAGACUACAACAGAUCGAGCCUGUGGACGGACAGACAUGAGGAGUGACAUGCGGAACACCAGGCUCACCCCACGAGAAGCAGUGCAUAAUCAACGCCAUCCUCAGCAAGGAGAUAUGCUGGAAAUGAUGUACUCUCUCUAACUCUGGGGGCUUCCCUGAAAACAGUUGCUGACAAGCGGAGCAAUAGGAGUCUGUCAGACGUUGUCACGCUGGAUGGGGAUGGUGAUGGAGGCUUUGGUGGUUCACACAACGAAGAAGCAGAUAUCCCUUCCAGUGAUCUGGAGUUGAUGUUGGACCUGGUGCUAGGAAGGAUUGUCUUCACAGAGGCAGUAAAACCCUCCUUCCUUCAUAUAGGAAUCCUUCAACUUCACUGUCUCUUCAAUAGUAAGGUCCCUUGCACCAUAGGGACACUUGACCUCCAACACAGCUGUGGUGCCCACCCAGAAUCCCAGACCCCGUGAACAAAAGCCCUCCUGCACAUCCAUCCCUGUAGCCAUUUUAAAUGCCUUGAUGCCCUCCUCUUUGUUACCUGUGCCCCACUUUACAGACACCCAUCCAACGACUGUGAUCUGAGGACCCUUUUUUAGCAGUGAUGGAGUAACACGCUUGGCCCUAACCACUGCUCCAUAAUUUAUGGCUGUCAACCUCCAUCUUCUUAUGGUGUGUCAGUUGGGGUUGGUGCACUGUCGAACUGUUGCCUGCCAUAUAGGUUUUGGCUGCUCCACCAACAGCGCCAUGCCAACCAGGAUGCCAGCUUGCCCAAGGUGCCUUUUUUUUAUUUAAUUUUUUUAACAAUUUCCAGUACAGACAGGGAUGACAGGGAGGGUAGCAGUUGUUCUGGCUCAGGUUCAGGGAGACAUGCCAUUCCACUGAACCUGCCCCAGAGAUGGUUCCUUAGCUACUGAAGAUCCUCCUCUGUGGGCUCUCAGGACAGAGGGUUGUAGUCUUCGGCCAGGUACAGGUCCUCCACUGACUGCCCCUAGUGGCUUCCUCCACUAGCAUUCCACAUCCGUACGGCUGAUAUUGUGACCCACCAAAAUAGGCUGCAUGGCUACCCGUAUGAGCUCCACGGAGGCAUAGAGGGAAUCACCUGGUCACCUACCGAGACCUGCCAAGAUGGAAGAUGUUGAAGUGCCACAUGCCUUUCAAUACAUUAAUUUGAACACCUUUAAAUACAUUUGUUGUAAAAAAUGUGCUGUAUAAAUAAAGUUUGAUUUGAAUGAUGACAUAAUCUGGUUAAUGAUAAUUGAUUAAGUGUAUCUUUCUUUGUAGAAUGUUGACAGCUGUAUAGAACACAUUGUAUUGCUAAGAUUCUCAAACUUAACUUGAUAGCUACACUCCGAUACAGGAUAAACUUUAUCUCUCAUAUUGGCCCUGACCAAACCGAUAAGUUGCCCCUCACUAUAGCUAUACUUCUCCACAUGGUAUCAUGGUAUCAAGGUAUCAA